rnacentral:tRNA from 1 species
GUCCUGAUAGUAUAAAUAUUACUUUGGUCUUGUAAACCAAAAAUGAGGAGCUAUCCUCUCAAGACAU